AGAAGAAGAGGCCAAGAUGAAGGAGGCUAAGCUGAUACGGGAAACCCGCUUAUCAGUAUGAAUAACUCCACCUCCUUCAAUGUGAAGAGAAGAACUAGGCUCGUGGAGAGACCAAGACACCAAAACGGUUCAUCAACGGCACCAUCAGUAGUGAUAUCCACCGCAAGUUUCUGCGGUCAAGGUCUCACCUGAAGAUGGCCACUUCCUGCAUCUUUCUCAGGGCUCCCUUGCCGGGGCCAAGAAGGACGGCAAGGUGACCACAAAGGCACUGUUGCUGACGCUGCCACACAGGGAACUCUCGCAUUUUAGCCUCCUGGCAUCCUGGAUGGAGAAGGCGCCCUUGUCGAGGCUAAGAAAGACGACAAGGCGACCAAACUGUCGCUCUUGAUGGAGAAGACACACUGGGUGUUGUCCUGCUCCUGCCUCCCAGCGUCCUGGACAUAAAAGUGACAAACUCAAGGGGGGAUCAACAGCUACAUAGAGGACUGUAGUGUACAUGUUCUUUCUGCUAACCAUGCAGUUGAGAUUUUUUUCGAGGAUAUGUCCUGGAAGACAUAUCCAUCACAUCGAAGAAGGGACUGAUGGUCGAUACACAAUGCCAAGAAGGCUACAACACACACCGUUAAUCUGAGACUACCCACCACACACACUACAACAACGACGAUAUUGGGGCCUCGCCCAGAACUGAACCACAAGCUGCGUCGCGACCAAUGCCAAGCAUAUCCAAAGAACCAACCUCCUAUGAACUCUCCAUGUCGAUGUACCAUCCACCCUUGAGCACCUAAGAGUCGGCAGGUGGGUGGUAGGACUUGUCAACCCAGCGAAAGGUGCCGCUUUGAAGUCGCCAGCAACAUCUUACAUUGCGCCCUGAAAUCUCAUCCAUGAGCAGCAUGCAACACUAGAGCAACACAUGCCAAAAACCGAGUGCUCACCAAGUUCAUGUUGUUGAUAAUGAGAUGGAUCAAUUUUAUGACACAGUGAGACUUGUAGAAGUUCCAAAAGGUCAUGCGAGGCAUAUCGUAGGGCGUCGAUGAUCAAAUCCUUGGGAUGCGUUGGCUAACUAUGGUCAAGUCAUGAAAGCCAUGUUUAUGUCUUGUUUAUCAUUUUCACGUGGAUAAAAAAAUGAGCUCAUGUAUAUGUUGACAUUAAAUCUUGUCUAUUUAUUCACCCAAGAUAAUUAUGGACUAAAACUGGAAGGUCAAUUGGGUUUGAUAUAGUGACCUACAAUUUGAUGUAGGAGGCCGUAGCUGCCAUUACUGGAAUGGAUUGGAAGGGAACCAGCUGAGCAUCAAUUCAAGGCAAUCCUACUGAACCUCAGCAGCCAUAUAUGGUCUAGAGUCGGCCAUGAUGCAAUUGUAGACAGAGCAGCAGAUGCCCUCGUUGUCGUACGAUGCCUACUUCUACGUGUGUCUAUGGUUUAGGUG